rnacentral:rRNA from 1 species
GAUUAAGUUAUUAAGGGCGCACGGUGGAUGCCUUGGCACUAGAAGCCGAUGAAGGACGUUACUAACGACGAUAUGCUUUGGGGAGCUGUAAGUAAGCUUUGAUCCAGAGAUUUCCGAAUGGGGAAACCCAGCAUGAGUUAUGUCAUGUUAUCGAUAUGUGAAUACAUAGCAUAUCAGAAGGCACACCCGGAGAACUGAAACAUCUUAGUACCCGGAGGAAGAGAAAGAAAAUUCGAUUCCCUUAGUAGCGGCGAGCGAAACGGGAAGAGCCCAAACCAACAAGCUUGCUUGUUGGGGUUGUAGGACACUCUAUACGGAGUUACAAAGGACGACAUUAGACGAAUCAUCUGGAAAGAUGAAUCAAAGAAGGUAAUAAUCCUGUAGUCGAAAAUGUUGUCUCUCUUGAGUGGAUCCUGAGUACGACGGAGCACGUGAAAUUCCGUCGGAAUCUGGGAGGACCAUCUCCUAAGGCUAAAUACUCUCUAGUGACCGAUAGUGAACCAGUACCGUGAGGGAAAGGUGAAAAGCACCCCGGAAGGGGAGUGAAAUAGAACCUGAAACCGUGUGCUUACAAGUAGUCAGAGCCCGUUAAUGGGUGAUGGCGUGCCUUUUGUAGAAUGAACCGGCGAGUUACGAUUUGAUGCAAGGUUAAGCAGUAAAUGUGGAGCCGUAGCGAAAGCGAGUCUGAAUAGGGCGUUUAGUAUUUGGUCGUAGACCCGAAACCAGGUGAUCUACCCUUGGUCAGGUUGAAGUUCAGGUAACACUGAAUGGAGGACCGAACCGACUUACGUUGAAAAGUGAGCGGAUGAACUGAGGGUAGCGGAGAAAUUCCAAUCGAACCUGGAGAUAGCUGGUUCUCUCCGAAAUAGCUUUAGGGCUAGCCUCAAGUGAUGAUUAUUGGAGGUAGAGCACUGUUUGGACGAGGGGCCCUCUCGGGUUACCGAAUUCAGACAAACUCCGAAUGCCAAUUAAUUUAACUUGGGAGUCAGAACAUGGGUGAUAAGGUCCGUGUUCGAAAGGGAAACAGCCCAGACCACCAGCUAAGGUCCCAAAAUAUAUGUUAAGUGGAAAAGGAUGUGGCGUUGCCCAGACAACUAGGAUGUUGGCUUAGAAGCAGCCAUCAUUUAAAGAGUGCGUAAUAGCUCACUAGUCGAGUGACACUGCGCCGAAAAUGUACCGGGGCUAAACAUAUUACCGAAGCUGUGGAUUGUCCUUUGGACAAUGGUAGGAGAGCGUUCUAAGGGCGUUGAAGCAUGAUCGUAAGGACAUGUGGAGCGCUUAGAAGUGAGAAUGCCGGUGUGAGUAGCGAAAGACGGGUGAGAAUCCCGUCCACCGAUUGACUAAGGUUUCCAGAGGAAGGCUCGUCCGCUCUGGGUUAGUCGGGUCCUAAGCUGAGGCCGACAGGCGUAGGCGAUGGAUAACAGGUUGAUAUUCCUGUACCACCUAUAAUCGUUUUAAUCGAUGGGGGGACGCAGUAGGAUAGGCGAAGCGUGCGAUUGGAUUGCACGUCUAAGCAGUAAGGCUGAGUAUUAGGCAAAUCCGGUACUCGUUAAGGCUGAGCUGUGAUGGGGAGAAGACAUUGUGUCUUCGAGUCGUUGAUUUCACACUGCCGAGAAAAGCCUCUAGAUAGAAAAUAGGUGCCCGUACCGCAAACCGACACAGGUAGUCAAGAUGAGAAUUCUAAGGUGAGCGAGCGAACUCUCGUUAAGGAACUCGGCAAAAUGACCCCGUAACUUCGGGAGAAGGGGUGCUCUUUAGGGUUAACGCCCAGAAGAGCCGCAGUGAAUAGGCCCAAGCGACUGUUUAUCAAAAACACAGGUCUCUGCUAAACCGUAAGGUGAUGUAUAGGGGCUGACGCCUGCCCGGUGCUGGAAGGUUAAGAGGAGUGGUUAGCUUCUGCGAAGCUACGAAUCGAAGCCCCAGUAAACGGCGGCCGUAACUAUAACGGUCCUAAGGUAGCGAAAUUCCUUGUCGGGUAAGUUCCGACCCGCACGAAAGGCGUAACGAUUUGGGCACUGUCUCAACGAGAGACUCGGUGAAAUCAUAGUACCUGUGAAGAUGCAGGUUACCCGCGACAGGACGGAAAGACCCCGUGGAGCUUUACUGUAGCCUGAUAUUGAAAUUCGGCACAGCUUGUACAGGAUAGGUAGGAGCCUUUGAAACGUGAGCGCUAGCUUACGUGGAGGCGCUGGUGGGAUACUACCCUAGCUGUGUUGGCUUUCUAACCCGCACCACUUAUCGUGGUGGGAGACAGUGUCAGGCGGGCAGUUUGACUGGGGCGGUCGCCUCCUAAAAGGUAACGGAGGCGCUCAAAGGUUCCCUCAGAAUGGUUGGAAAUCAUUCAUAGAGUGUAAAGGCAUAAGGGAGCUUGACUGCGAGACCUACAAGUCGAGCAGGGUCGAAAGACGGACUUAGUGAUCCGGUGGUUCCGCAUGGAAGGGCCAUCGCUCAACGGAUAAAAGCUACCCCGGGGAUAACAGGCUUAUCUCCCCCAAGAGUUCACAUCGACGGGGAGGUUUGGCACCUCGAUGUCGGCUCAUCGCAUCCUGGGGCUGUAGUCGGUCCCAAGGGUUGGGCUGUUCGCCCAUUAAAGCGGUACGCGAGCUGGGUUCAGAACGUCGUGAGACAGUUCGGUCCCUAUCCGUCGUGGGCGUAGGAAAUUUGAGAGGAGCUGUCCUUAGUACGAGAGGACCGGGAUGGACAUACCUCUGGUGUACCAGUUGUCGUGCCAACGGCAUAGCUGGGUAGCUAUGUGUGGACGGGAUAAGUGCUGAAAGCAUCUAAGCAUGAAGCCCCCCCUCAAGAUGAGAUUUCCCAACUUCGGUUAUAAGAUCCCUCAAAGAUGAUGAGGUUAAUAGGUUCGAGGUGGAAGCAUGGUGACAUGUGGAGCUGACGAAUACUAAUCGAUCGAAGACUUAAUCAA